UGUUACGUGUUGGUUUUGCGUCACGGAGCUAAAUAAAAAUACACAUUAACGAAAUUUAUUGUAAGAGACUGUUACACAUGCAGAUAUUUAGUCACAAAUAAGUUCAAAAAAUUGCUAUUACGUAAUUUUCGUGUAAACGUUAGAACUGGCAAUAUUGGCAACUGGGAGUGUAGUGUACGAAAUUAAUUUUUUUUUCAGAAUAAUGACUGUUAAUCUUUACGUGUUCUGAGUGGAAAAUCGAUUGACUUAUAUUAAAAUGUCGCUUAAGAAGGAGUCUCGUACAGACGUGCAGUUCCACUUAGCUGCGCUGCGAGGGGACUGUGACCGGCUACGGCAGCUGCUCGACACGGGGAAGGUGCACAUAGACUCGAGAGACAGGGACGGAACAACGCCCCUUAUUUUGUCUGCGGCCAUGGGGCACACGGACUGCGUGGCCGAGCUGCUGGCGCAGGGCGCAGACCCCGCCUGCCGCAGGACGGUAUG